AGUGAACGCUGGCGGUAGGCCUAACACAUGCAAGUCGAACGGCAGCACAGUAAGAGCUUGCUCUUACGGGUGGCGAGUGGCGGACGCGUGAGGAAUACAUCGGAAUCUACUUUUUCGUGGGGGAUAACGUAGGGAAACUUACGCUAAUACCGCAUACGACCUACGGGUGAAAGCAGGGGAUCUUCGGACCUUGCGCGAUUGAAUGAGCCGAUGUCGGAUUAGCUAGUUGGCGGGGUAAAGGCCCACCAAGGCGACGAUCCGUAGCUGGUCUGAGAGGAUGAUCAGCCACACUGGGACUGAGACACGGUCCAGACUCCUACGGGAGGCAGCAGUGGGGAAUAUUGGACAAUGGGCGCAAGCCUGAUCCAGCCAUACCGCGUGGGUGAAGAAGGCCUUCGGGUUGUAAAGCCCUUUUGUUGGGAAAGAAAAGCAGCAGGUUAAUACCCCGCUGUUCUGACGGUACCCAAAGAAUAAGCACCGGCUAACUUCGUG
rnacentral:rRNA from 1 species